rnacentral:rRNA from 1 species
AAGACCUUGCGCUUUUGGAGCAGCCGAUGCCUGAUUAGCUUGUUGGUAAGGUAAAAGCUUACCAAGGCUUCGAUCAGUAGCUGGUCUGAGAGGACGGCCAGCCACACUGGGACUGAGACACGGCCCAGACUCCUACGGGAGGCAGCAGUGGGGAAUUUUGGACAAUGGGGGCAACCCUGAUCCAGCCAUGCCGCGUGAGUGAAGAAGGCCUUCGGGUUGUAAAGCUCUUUCAGCCGGAACGAAACGGUUACGGUUAAUACCCGUGAUUACUGACGGUACCGGAAGAAGAAGCACCGGCUAACUACGUGCCAGCAGCCGCGGUAAUACGUAGGGUGCGAGCGUUAAUCGGAAUUACUGGGCGUAAAGCGUGCGCAGGUGGUUUUGUAAGUCAGAUGUGAAAGCCCCGGGCUCAACCUGGGAACU